rnacentral:rRNA from 1 species
UAAUACGUAGGUGGCAAGCGUUGUCCGGAAUUAUUGGGCGUAAAGCGCGCGCAGGCGGUCCUUUAAGUCUGAUGUGAAAUCUUGCGGCUCAACCGCAAGCGGUCAUUGGAAACUGGGGGACUUGAGUGCAGAAGAGGAAAGCGGAAUUCCACGUGUAGCGGUGAAAUGCGUAGAGAUGUGGAGGAACACCAGUGGCGCAGGCGGCUUUCUGGUCUGUAACUGACGCUGAGGCGCGAAAGCGUGGGGAGCAAACAGGAUUAGAUACCCUGGUAGUCCACGCCGUAAACGAUGAGUGCUAAGUGUUGGAGGGUUUCCGCCCUUCAGUGCUGCAGCUAACGCAUUAAGCACUCCGCCUGGGGAGUACGGUCGCAAGACUGAA